CAACCUUGGUUCAUGUUUCACUGCUUUUCUGACCCAUGUGGUAAAUCGAACACUGCGUUCAAUAUUCAAGUGAUUCGUUUGUCCUGAUGCUACUCCGAAUUAAAAUAAGGACGUGACAGAAGUCCUUUCAAUGUGCUGAUAUUUAAAAAAGUUAAUAUUUGUGCGUAUUGACUAUCGAUGUGUUGAGCUUCACCAGUUGAUAGAUAGGGAAUCUGUGGUUCAGUAAAGUGACAGAAUUCAGACUUUGGUCCAGUGGAGAAAUUAUUCAAACGUUCUUUACUUUAAUGGUACCGCAAUGCAUUUUUUAAGUCUAUUGUAUAUCUUUUUUGUGUUGUAGUUUAAGCACAGUUACAGUCUCAAGGUGUUUAAUAAUUCAUCUGUCAUCUGCUGUACACAUCUGUACUGUAGUGAGGGCAGUGUGGUUAUGUUGUGGGGUUCAUAUCGAUGGUCUAUGACGUCCAUAAUGCUUUAGUGUGAAGCAGUCACAAAGAUCUUCUCUCUCAAUAAACAGCUAAAGUUCAAAAGGCAAUUGAAGUGAUGGAUGAGUUGUGUUUGUGUCCAGGUCUCCAGUCUACUAUGGAUGAGGAGAGAGAAGAGGGGGGUCCUACCUCUAAGACCACUCUGUCUGGGGAACAUGGCCGUCGGAGCAAAGCUAAGAGCCCAGAGAAGCAGGAGAGAGCAGCCCCCCCUGGACCCAGCUGUGUCUCCAUGAAGAGUGGCUGGUCUAUGGAUAUACCUGUUAGUUUUAAAGAUGGAAAUCAGUCUAUCAAGAAGAGUAGAGUCCAGCAGGAGAGAGCAGACUCCCCUGGACCCAGCUGUGUCUCCAUGAAGAGUGGCUGGUCUAUGGAUGUACCUGUUACCUUUAAAGAUGGACGCCCCUCCAGAGAGGAGAGCCCAGAGCAGCAGCAGAGAGCAGACUCCCCUGGACCCAGCUGUGUCUCCAUGAAGAGUGACCACUCUAUGGAUAUACCAUUGGUGUUUAAAGAUGGACGCCCCUCCAGAGAGGAGAGGUAGGGGGUUCAAACAGACGAUGAAAACAGACCACUUGGUUGUUAUCAGUCUCUACUGAUACUCUACUGAUCUACAAGUCUGGCGAAAUAGAAUUGUGUGUGUGUGUGUGUGUGUUCC